GAUUAGCCAUGCAUGUCUAAGUACAUGCCGUAUUAAGGCGAAACCGCGAAUGGCUCAUUAAAUCAGUCAUGGUUCCUUGGAUCGUACCUUACUACUUGGAUAACUGUGGCAAUUCUAGAGCUAAUACAUGCAGCAGAGCUCCGACCUUCGGGGACGAGCGCUUUUAUUAGACCAAAACCAAUCGGACCUCGUGUCCGUCCUUUGUGGUGACUCUGUAUAACUUUGGGCUGAUCGCACGGGCCUGUCCCGGCGACGUAUCUUUCAAGUGUCUGCCUUAUCAACUUUCGAUGGUAGGUUACGCGCCUACCAUGGUCGUAACGGGUAACGGGGAAUCAGGGUUCGAUUCCGGAGAGGGAGCCUGAGAAACGGCUACCACAUCCAAGGAAGGCAGCAGGCGCGCAAAUUACCCACUCCCAGAACGGGGAGGUAGUGACGAAAAAUAACAAUACGGGACUCUUUUGAGACCCCGUAAUUGGAAUGAGUACACUCUAAAUCCUUUAACGAGGAUCCAUUGGAGGGUAAGUCUGGUGCCAGCAACCGCGGUAAUUCCAGCUCCAAUAGCGUAUAUUAAAGUUGUUGCGGUUAAAAAGCUCGUAGUUGGAUCUCAGUUCCAGACGGGUGGUCCGCCUACCGGUGGUUACUGCCUGUUCUGAACAGUCAGCCGGUUUCUCUUGAUGAUCUUCACCGGUUGUCUUGGGUGACCGGCAAGUUUACUUUGAAAAAAUUAGAGUGCUCAAAGCAGGCGUGACGCCUGAAUAAUGGUGCAUGGAAUAAUGGAAUAGGACCUCGGUUCUAUUUUGUUGGUUUUCGGAACACGAGGUAAUGAUUAAGAGGGACAGACGGGGGCAUUCGUAUUGCGACGCUAGAGGUGAAAUUCUUGGACCGUCGCAAGACGAACUACUGCGAAAGCAUUUGCCAAGAAUGUUUCCAUUAAUCAAGAACGAAGUUAGAGGUUCGAA
rnacentral:rRNA from 1 species